rnacentral:rRNA from 1 species
CAGUGAGGAAUAUUGGUCAAUGGUACAGAAGUCUGAACCAGCCAAGUAGCGUGGAGGAUGACGGCCCUAUGGGUUGUAAACUGCUUUUUAAGGGGAUAAAGUGUGGGACGUGUCCCGUAUUGCAUGUACCUUAUGAAUAAGGAUCCGGCUAAUUCCAGUGCCAGCAGCCGCGGUAAUACG